UUCCCCAGUCAAGAGCCAAUCAGAAGAAAAAAGGAGGCGAAGACUUCGCCGUCUGGCGUUCAAAAAUGCCACCUCGUAAGGAUGGGAAGAUAGAAAGAAAAUGGGGUUGGGACUAACGUUUGACGUCUUCAGCCAAAUAAUGUGUUCUGGCCCUACGUUCCUUAUUGGCUGGACCAAAGGACGAGCGAUUUCACAGAGAAAAGUGUUACAUGUCUCCAGAUGGGGCAGAAGGAAUUCAACAAGGCCCUUCAACAUGAAAGUCGAGCUUGACAUCUGUCAAAGGCACUCCUUUACAAAUAGAUACACCGUCCACAGCCUUGACACAAACUCAACUGUGGGAUAGAAAAGGCCACCACAGUCUGUAAAAAACAAUAGAGCAAUUGAAUUGGCUGAUCCUGAUUGUCCAUGCCUGAAUUGUCUAAGCAAUCGACAUUCUUUAAUUUAUCUUCCGAAAAGUUUAUUCUUCGGCAUACUACUGGACGUGUUCUUGGCGAAAGAGCUGCUUCAUGUGGUGCCGAUGGUAGAAGCCGACGGAUUGGCAACAGGAGGAUUCUGUCUUUGGCCGCAUUCAUAUUUGGAGUGAACGUUGCUGCUUGCUGAAUAUGUGGAAGAAGACGGCGUUUGUUUGAGUUAUUCAGCUCGGGAUCUUCAUCUGCAAGAAAGAAAAGAUGAUGCGGUAAUAUAAAUAUUCAUAGUGAGUUAUAAAUAUAAUUUAUUUUCAGAAAUGGGACCAAAAUGGUUGUUAUGAACGGGAAUGUUGCAAGGAAAAAUCAGGAAGAGUAAACGAAGGCAGAGAAAAUUUCAAUUUACUGGCCAAGGGAAUGCGAUUCUCGUACAGAAUUACAAGACCUAGGAAAGUCGUUUGUCGCCAGAUUGUAGCCUUACAGAAGCUUUGCUGGACACAGACAUUAGAAUUCGUCCAAUUUUUACCCAUGUCAAUUGUGAUUGAUAGAUGAAGAAGUCACGGAUUUUAUUCGAUCUACUUUCCCGUACAGAGAUCUGUUCCGAAGGAGAUAAAAAACAUCUCAUCAAUCGUAGAACGUCCCGGUGAUCGUAUAUAGCUUUACAGUGUUCAGAAUGUCUGUUACGUUUAUUAACAUUUUAUUUUUAUUUUUUAAAUGUAACAAUUUUUAAUGAGAACAAUACAUUUUCUGCUUUAAACAUAUAACAAAAUUACGCGUUGGUUUGUUUUUCCACUUGUCGGGUACCGCAUCACAUUUAAGGCGCAUCGAGGAAUUACCGUGCAUCUAAUAGCUUCUAACACCGUUCUCUGAUUCCAUUCUCAACCCCUAAUAACAGUUCCCUGCCUUUUUUAUUUCCGUUUAAGUCGUGAACACACGCUGAAACAAGAUUUUUGUACAUUCGACAGGUUCGAAAAUAGAACGAAUGAUAUUUAUUUGAUUGUUAUGCAUGUAAAAAAUAUAUCCGUUUCAUAACUAAUUUCCCUUAA
rnacentral:lncRNA from 1 species